GGCAUGUUGCUCGGAGUUCAGCCCUGGCGCUUGACCUGCCAACCGGGAGCUUCGUCGAGGCUGGAAGUCCGGAGCCAGUUGACGGCGGUGUGCAGGGGGGUUCACCAGAAGAGCAUCCGAGCGAGACUUGGCCACAACAAGGAAUUCACCCAAAUUGCGAGGACGCGGCGCAACGACCAAAGCGCGCGAAGAGGAGGUGCGAGAUCGUCCGUAGUGGAUUGGAGGAGACGCGAACCGGGAGGUCGUAUCCGUCCGAGGUUCUCCAACC
rnacentral:lncRNA from 1 species